rnacentral:tRNA from 1 species
CCUGGUGGUUCAGAUGGUAAAGUGUCUGCCUGCAAUGCAGGAGACCCAGGUUCAAUUCCUGGGUCAGGA